rnacentral:rRNA from 1 species
GACGAACGCUGGCGGCGUGCUUAACACAUGCAAGUCGAACGGAAAGGCCCUGCUUUUGUGGGGUGCUCGAGUGGCGAACGGGUGAGUAACACGUGAGUAACCUGCCCUUGACUUUGGGAUAACUUCAGGAAACUGGGGCUAAUACCGGAUAGGAGCUCCUGCUGCAUGGUGGGGGUUGGAAAGUUUCGGCGGUUGGGGAUGGACUCGCGGCUUAUCAGCUUGUUGGUGGGGUAGUGGCUUACCAAGGCUUUGACGGGUAGCCGGCCUGGGAGGGUGACCGGCCACAUUGGGACUGAGAUACGGCCCAGACUGCUACGGGAGGCAGCGGUGGGGAAUAUUGCACAAUGGGCGGAAGCCUGAUGCAGCAACGCCGCGUGCGGGAUGACGGCCUUCGGGUUGUAAACCGCUUUCGCCUGUGACGAAGCGUGAGUGACGGUAAUGGGUAAAGAAGCACCGGCUAACUACGUG